GACGAACGCUGGCGGCGUGCUUAACACAUGCAAGUCGAGCGGUAAGGCCCUUUCGGGGGUACACGAGCGGCGAACGGGUGAGUAACACGUGGGUGACCUGCCCUCAGCUCUGGGAUAAGCCUGGGAAACCGGGUCUAAUACUGGAUAUGACUCCAUGACGCAUGUUGUGGGGUGGAAAGCCUUGUGCGGCUGAGGAUGGGCCCGCGGCCUAUCAGCUUGUUGGUGGGGUGAUGGCCUACCAAGGCGACGACGGGUAGCCGGCCUGAGAGGGCGGCCGGCCACACUGGGACUGAGACACGGCCCAGACUCCCACGGGAGGCAGCAGUGGGGAAUAUUGGACAAUGGGCGAAAGCCUGAUCCAGCGAUGCCGCGUGUGUGAAGAAGG
rnacentral:rRNA from 1 species